AGAACCAACAGGGAUUGCUAGUAACGGCGAGUGAAGCGGCAACAGCUCAAAUUAUGAAAUCUGGCCUCUUUGAGGCGUCCGAGUUGUAAUUUGAUAGAGGAUGUUUCGGGUACGCCUCGGUCUAAAUUUGGACAGAAUGUCAAAGAGGGUGAGAAUCCCGUCUUGGACCGGCGGUAAGGCCCAUGUGAAACUCCUUCGACGAGUCGAGUUGUUUGGGAAUGCAGCUCAAAAUGGGUGGUAAAUUUCAUCUAAAGCUAAAUAUUGGCCAGAGACCGAUAGCGCACAAGUAGAGUGAUCGAAAGAUGAAAAGCACUUUGAAAAGAGAGUUAAACAGUAUGUGAAAUUGUUGAAAGGGAAGCGCUUGCAACCAGACUUGUGCUCGGCGGUUCCCCCUUCCUUUUGGUUGGGUUAUUCCGUCGUGUCCAGGCCAACAUCGGUUCUGGGGGUCGGUUAAAGGCCUUGGGAAUGUACCUACCUUCGGGCGUAGACUUAUAGCCCUUCCCGGGACCGAGGAACGCGCUUCGGCUCGAUGUUGCCCGUAAUGGUUGUCAGCGACCCGUCUUGAAACACGGACCAAGGAGUCUAACAUCUAUGCGAGUGUUUGGGUGUCAAACCCGGAACGCGAAAUGAAAGUGAACGGAGGUAGGAAGCUUCGGCUGCACUAUCGACCGAUCCUGAUGUCUUCGGAUGGAUUUGAGUAAGAGCAUAGCUGUUGGGACCCGAAAGAUGAUGAACUAUGCCUGAAUAGGGUGAAGCCAGAGGGAACUCUGGUGGAGGCUCGCAGCGGUUCUGACGUGCAAAUCGAUCGUCAAAUUUGGGUAUAGGGGCGAAAGACUAAUCGAAUCAUCUGGUAGCUGGUUCCUG
rnacentral:rRNA from 1 species